ACUUCUAAUUUUUAAUUUCCUAUUCAACAUGUAGGCUGCAUGGUUCACCUGUUUGUUUGUUUGUUUUUGAAAGAAAUCAGCCCAAUAAAAUUUUAAGAAGAAUUAAGUAUGAUGAUUAUUGAUACUUGGUGCUAACUCUCCUCUGAUGUUCUACCAUUCAAAAUGAAAAUCAUUGAAAAUCACUGAGUAAUUGAACAGUAUGGAAAUGAACAUGAUCUUCUACAAAGCCAACUCUGAGAAAGGGAAAACAGAAGUACAGUGGCCCAAGCUGAAUGAUCAGCAGAAAGGGCUUCCUACCGAAGCCUGGUUUUCCUACCCAUUGGUUUUCAUGACAUGUUGGCUGAAACUAAAACUUCAAGCUCACCUUGGAAUGAGAAGAGGUGAAAUGUGCUGUAAAGGGAAAGAAAGCUUCCCUUCUGAGAGUAAAGCCAUGCUGUGGGAAGCAAAGUGAACGUCCCAUGAACAAAUGAGGAAACUAGGAGAGAAAUGUUGAAGAAGUCCAGGGAAAAGCAAAGAAGUUACCUAUGACAUACGUACAGGUGAAAAAUAAUAAAAGGCCAUUUUAGCUAGCUUGGUGUAAGUGAACAGGAAUACAUAUUUUACAAACAGAAAUCAAGAUAUGUUAUACAUACUCAAUUUAGAUUGUCUGUAGUCAAAAAUUUGGAUUUGGCUGGGAAUAUGGCCUAGUGACAAGAGUGCUCACCUCAUAUACA